rnacentral:rRNA from 13 species
UCUGGUGCUUAUGGCAUAGUGGACACACCCGUUCCCAUCCCGAACACGGAAGUUAAGCACUAUUACGCCGACGAUAGCCGCAAGGUGAAAAUAGGGCAGUGCCAGGU